rfam:Oryza sativa (indica cultivar-group) chromosome 3, whole genome shotgun sequence.
CGUAGAUGCAGUUGCGAGCUUCUAUAUGUAAUGUCUGACCGUCUGUCUUAUUUGAACUUUUUAUGAUUAGUAUUUUUAUUGUUAUUAGAUGAUAAAAUAUGAAUAAUACUUCAUGCUUGACAAAUUUUUUAUUUUUUUAUAAUUUUUUUUAAAUAAGACGGAUGGUCAAAUGUUGGAUAAAAAACCCACUACUAUAUGUAAA